rnacentral:rRNA from 1 species
CCCUUUGGGGUGUGACUGCGUACCUUUUGUAUAAUGGGUCAGCGACUUAUAUUCUGUAGCAAGGUUAACCGAAUAGGGGAGCCGGAGGGAAACCGAGUCUUAAUUGGGCGUUAAGUUGCAGGGUAUAGACCCGAAACCCGGUGAUCUAGCCAUGGGCAGGUUGAAGGUUGGGUAACACUAACUGGAGGACCGAACCGACUAAUGUUGAAAAAUUAGCGGAUGACCUGUGGCUGGGGGUGAAAGGCCAAUCAAACCGGGAGAUAGCUGGUUCUCCCCGAAAGCUAUUUAGGUAGCGCCUCGUGAAUUCAUCUCCGGGGGUAGAGCACUGUUUCGGCUAGGGGGCCAUCCCGGCUUACCAACCCGAUGCAAACUGCGAAUACCGGAGAAUGUUAUCACGGGAGACACACGGCGGGUGCUAACGUCCGUCGUGAAGAGGGAAACAACCCAGACCGCCAGCUAAGGUCCCAAAGUCAUGGUUAAGUGGGAAACGAUGUGGGAAGGCCCAGACAGCCAGGAUGUUGGCUUAGAAGCAGCCAUCAUUUAAAGAAAGCGUAAUAGCUCACUGGUCGAGUCGGCCUGCGCGGAAGAUGUAACGGGGCUAAACCAUGCACCGAAGCUGCGGCAGCGACGCUGAUGCGUUGUUGGGUAGGGGAGCGUUCUGUAAGCCUGCGAAGGUGGCCUGUGAGGGUUGCUGGAGGUAUCAGAAGUGCGAAUGCUGACAUAAGUAACGAUAAAGCGGGUGAAAAGCCCGCUCGCCGGAAGACCAAGGGUUCCUGUCCAACGUUAAUCGGGGCAGGGUGAGUCGACCCCUAAGGCGAGGCCGAAAGGCGUAGUCGAUGGGAAACGGGUUAAUAUUCCCGUACUUGGUGUUACUGCGAAGGGGGGACGGAGAAGGCUAUGUUGGCCGGGCGACGGUUGUCCCGGUUUAAGCGUGUAGGUGUGUGUUCCAGGUAAAUCCGGUUCACUUUAACACUGAGGCGUGAUGACGAGGCACUACGGUGCUGAAGCAACAAAUGCCCUGCUUCCAGGAAAAGCCUCUAAGCAUCAGGUAACAUCAAAUCGUACCCCAAACCGACACAGGUGGUCAGGUAGAGAAUACCAAGGCGCUUGAGAGAACUCGGGUGAAGGAACUAGGCAAAAUGGUGCCGUAACUUCGGGAGAAGGCACGCUGACACGUAGGUGAAGUGAUUUACUCAUGGAGCUGAAGUCAGUCGAAGAUACCAGCUGGCUGCAACUGUUUAUUAAAAACACAGCACUGUGCAAACACGAAAGUGGACGUAUACGGUGUGACGCCUGCCCGGUGCCGGAAGGUUAAUUGAUGGGGUCAGCGCAAGCGAAGCUCCUGAUCGAAGCCCCGGUAAACGGCGGCCGUAACUAUAACGGUCCUAAGGUAGCGAAAUUCCUUGUCGGGUAAGUUCCGACCUGCACGAAUGGCGUAAUGAUGGCCAGGCUGUCUCCACCCGAGACUCAGUGAAAUUGAACUCGCUGUGAAGAUGCAGUGUACCCGCGGCAAGACGGAAAGACCCCGUGAACCUUUACUAUAGCUUGACACUGAACAUUGAGCCUUGAUGUGUAGGAUAGGUGGGAGGCUUUGAAGUGUGGACGCCAGUCUGCAUGGAGCCGGCCUUGAAAUACCACCCUUUAAUGUUUGAUGUUCUAACGUGGACCCGUGAUCCGGGUUGCGGACAGUGUCUGGUGGGUAGUUUGACUGGGGCGGUCUCCUCCUAAAGAGUAACGGAGGAGCACGAAGGUUGGCUAAUCCUGGUCGGACAUCAGGAGGUUAGUGCAAUGGCAUAAGCCAGCUUGACUGCGAGCGUGACGGCGCGAGCAGGUGCGAAAGCAGGUCAUAGUGAUCCGGUGGUUCUGAAUGGAAGGGCCAUCGCUCAACGGAUAAAAGGUACUCCGGGGAUAACAGGCUGAUACCGCCCAAGAGUUCAUAUCGACGGCGGUGUUUGGCACCUCGAUGUCGGCUCAUCACAUCCUGGGGCUGAAGUAGGUCCCAAGGGUAUGGCUGUUCGCCAUUUAAAGUGGUACGCGAGCUGGGUUUAGAACGUCGUGAGACAGUUCGGUCCCUAUCUGCCGUGGGCGCUGGAGAACUGAGGGGGGCUGCUCCUAGUACGAGAGGACCGGAGUGGACGCAUCACUGGUGUUCGGGUUGUCAUGCCAAUGGCACUGCCCGGUAGCUAAAUGCGGAAGAGAUAAGUGCUGAAAGCAUCUAAGCACGAAACUUGCCCCGAGAUGAGUUCUCCCUGAGACUUAGAGUCUCCUGAAGGAACGUUGAAGACGACGACGUUGAUAGGCCGGGUGUGUAAGCGCAGCGAUGCGUUGAGCUAACCGGUACUAAUGAACCGUGAGGCUUAACCUU